GUUAGUGUGAUGUGUGUGUGACGAUGCUGGUAGUGUGCUAUGUGGGUGAGGGUGUUUGUGUGUGCGUGCUUGUGAGAAUGCUGUUAAUGUACUGUGUGUGAGGGUGCUGUUUGUGUGUGUGUGUGCGCUUGUGAGGGUGUUGUUAAUGUACUGUGUGUGAGGGUGCUGUUUGUGUGUGAGGGUACUGGUAGUGUGCUGUGUGUGUGUU